rnacentral:rRNA from 1 species
UAGGGAAUCUUCCGCAAUGGACGCAAGUCCGACGGAGCAACGCCGCGUGAGUGAAGAAGGAUUUCGGUUCGUAAAACUCCGUUGUUAGAGAAGAACAGCGCAUAGAGUAACUGUUAUGCGUGUGACGGUAUCUAACCAGAAAGCCACGGCUAACUACGUGCCAGCAGCCGCGGUAAUACGUAGGUGGCAAGCGUUGUCCGGAUUUAUUGGGCGUAAAGCGAGCGGAGGCGGUCAAUUAAGUCUGAUGUGAAAGCCCCCGGCUCAACCGGGGAGGGUCAUUGAAAACUGGUUGACUUGAGUGCAGAAGAGGAGGGUGGAAUUCCAGGGGUAGCGGUGAAAUGCGAAGAUAUAUGGAGGAACACGAGUGGCGAAGGCGACUCUCUGGUCUGUAACUGACGCUGAGGCUCGAAAGCGUGGGGAGCGAACAGG